UACGCAGGGGGCGAGCGUUGUUCGGAUUUACUGGGCGUAAAGCGCACGUAGGCGGCUUUGUAAGUUAGAGGUGAAAGCCCGGGGCUCAACUCCGGAAUUGCCUUUAAGACUGCAUCGCUAGAAUUGUGGAGAGGUAAGUGGAAUUCCGAGUGUAGAGGUGAAAUUCGUAGAUAUUCGGAAGAACACCAGUGGCGAAGGCGACUUACUGGACACAUAUUGACGCUGAGGUGCGAAAGCGUGGGGAGCAAACAGG
rnacentral:rRNA from 1 species